AAGCCACAGAGCCGCCCCAUUCCCAGGCGGGCAGGUCGGCAUCCCCUGGGCUGCUUAUGGCCACAAAGUCUCCCUCAGUGAGCCGGGAGACCCGAGUUUUCAGCCCCAUCCUAGCCAUCCCGAUCCCUGGCCUUUCCAGACCAUGGCUCCUAAGGGAGGGCGAGGACCUGAUACCCCGGCUGGGAAUAUGGGACAAGGACCGGCUGAAGGAAACAGCACUGAAAAGACGGGGGUGCAGUCUGAGAUGGAGCCCGAGGCGGGAGAAGACCGAGAGGACAUCGCACUUGGCUUGGACUGAAGCCCAAGGUGGCACAGGGAGCCGGCAGCCGAGCCAGGCCUGAUCCCAGCGGGUGCGGGCCUACCCUUUAGCUGGGCUCCCUUUCCUUCCAAAGACCUGGGGUUACUUGGUUGUCACAGGCCGGCAGGCGGCUCACCUCCCCCACCCACAGCCCCUGCAGGGGCACAGCUGGUCCCCAGGUAUUGGUGGUCUGCCACCUGUAACCGCAAAUGUCCCUGAGCAUGAUAAACACUUCAGUAUCCACGA